rnacentral:tRNA from 3 species
AUUUAAAUAGCUUAAAAAGAGUUUAAUAUUGAAGAUAUUAAGGUGAUUAUAUAAAUCUUUAAAUA